CUGUGGGAUUUCCAGAUACAGACGGACAAAAUGGUGGUGGCUAACCAACCGGACAUAGUGGUGGUAGACAAACAGAAUGUCAGGGUUGGACGGUUCCCCGACCGGUCGACCUGCCUGUGUUUGUGUGUUUUCCUCUCUCUUUCAUUUUCCUCUCCGGCUCCGUGGCAAUUGUUUACGGAGGUCGCAUGGCAAUGAGUGACGUCCGACCCGGGUGUGCUGCCGCUCUGGAGCCGCCACACCUGCAACUGAUCCAGCCAACAGCUGCCUUUAAUCAUCCACCAUCUUAGGCAGAGCUAUUUCAUGGUGUGGCCGAACGACAGUCAGCGCUGGAGUAUUGCACUAAGCCUGGUAGUAUUCCCUGACCGUUUGCGUAGUUAAGUGUUGCCUGCCAGACAAGUGAUUAACUGUUUGCUGUUCUGUGUGCAACUAGGAACAGGGAUGGAGGAGAAUCACAAGCAUGGGAGUCUACCUGGAGGAGGAAGGAAAAUUCACUGCCACGCACUGUUUGAGCACGGGAAGGGGGACACAACUGACUACUUUGCACAUUGAACUGUUGUUAACCUUUUACCACUGUAAAUAAACACACUGCCUUGCAUUCAGAGCUCCAUGCCUGGUUCCUCUCUUUCUCCAACUGUGAAGAAGACAGCGAUAGAUGUAGCGGUUCUGAAUGACAGCAACAUCAGGAAGAAGGAACACCAGAAACCUGAGAAAUACCAAGGGCUCAGAGAAGAGUUGGAGAACAUGUGGAGGGUGAAGGUAACAGUGGUCCCGGUGGUAAUCAAAGCACUAUGUGCUCAGCAGAUCCCAGGAACAACAUCGGAGAUCUCUGUCCAGAAGAGCACAGACCUGGGAACUAAGAUACUGCGCAGGACUCGCAAGCUCCCAGGCCUCUGGUAGAGGACCCCAGCUUGGAGGAUAGAACGCCUGCAGGGGUGGGAGGGGAAUUUUAUAUAUUUUAUAUAUUUUCCAAACAUGGUUUUCACAGUUUCAGUUAUUCCUUACAAAUUAUUAGUAUUCCUAUGUGGAUGCAGCCUUAGCUCAUGGGAGGAGUUCAUUAAGGUCAUGGAAGAAGCCUUUUGGUCAGCCUCGAGGCGAUUCCAGCAAACCAUCAGGCUCUCAGUGUGGGUUGCUGACUUCAACCAAGGAUAUAGUUGGUUGGUGUUAAGACUACUUUUCUCAGUCCCACUGACAUGCCUUCUAUUGAAGAAAAAUAGUCUGGGGACGAGACAGACAACUUCCGGAUCAAUGGGUCCAAGGUGAGUAAGGUAGUUAAAUAACUCCUUAGUGGUAGGGCCCCAGGUGAUUUGCCUUGAGUUACUAUAGGUAUAUCUUGGUUGACACACCUCUGCAACAUCACUUGGAGAUCCAGGGCAGUCCCUCUGGAUUGGCAGACAGGGGUGGUGGUUACUUGGGUGAUUCAAUUACAGUGGGAUCACACUACUCAGCCUCCCUAGGAAGAAAAGUCUAUGCCAGGGUACUGGAGACAAGAGUUUGUCCAUAAUUCGAACCUCGGAUUCAGUGAUUGUCAUCCUGGUCAUAGACCGCUAAACCAGAUCUUUAUCCUAAUGAGGAAAUUCAAGUUUGAAUGGGGGUUACAGUCUACAUGUGUUUUAUGGGAUUUGACCGCAUCCCUCGAGACAUUGUAUGGAAGGUGCUUUGGGAGUAUGGGGCAUCUAGCUCAUUAUCAAAGGCCAUUUGGUCCUUGUGCAACUGCAGCAAGAGCUUGGUCUGUCUUGCUGACAAUAGACUCAUUCCCAGCAGGUGUUGGGAUUAUGAUUAUGUUCAUAAUUUUUUAAACAAAAUUUCUAGGCAGUCUUAAGUAGCAAAAGGCCUCCCCUCUGGUUGUCUCAGGAUCUCAUCUCUAUUUUUUGUGGUUCUGUUGGCUUCAUCAGGUGGUGGCAUCCAGAUUGUACAUCAACAGUUUGCGGCCCAAUGUGAAGCAAUGGGAAUACCAGUUAGCACUUUCAAGUGUGGGGCUUGAAAGUUCUUAGCAAGAAUAGAUUAGAGAGCCUUCUUGGGGUUAGGGACAAGUUGUUGCCCCAAAUGGAGGAAUUCAAGUAUCUGGGGGUCAAAAGUGAAGAGAAAGGAGAGCGGGGGAGUGACAAAUAGAUUGGAGCCAUGUCUGCAGUGAUGCAUAUGCUUUACUGGUCUCUUGUGGUAAAGAGAGAUCUGAAUAUAAAUAUGCUAUGGUGUUGAUUUUACUAGUUGAUAAUGACGUCUACUGCCUGGCCAUCCUGGCCCAAUCCCCAGAGCUGGGUUUGCCAUUCCCCACCUGCCGUGGCCACCUGCAAGCCAUCAAACAGCAAACAGCUGUCCAGUACUUAAGAUGUGCGUUGGCUUCCACACUCUGCUAGACCGUCCACUACCCCAUGAUGAAUCAUUACCCACCACACCUGCAGCUGAUUCUCGUGUUCAUCUCUCCUCUCACCUGAAAAAGCUCAUGGACUAGCUACUCCGACAGCGUUCACAGAAAUUCACUCUGCCUGCCACUCACCUCUGGAUCAUGCAAAUUGGCUGGAUUGCCUCACUCUCACCCUGUUGGACACUCACACCAGUUCCUCCCUCCCUCCGGACCCCAGUCUCUCAUCUAACCAGUAACCUGUAAUUUCUUCAUUCUAAUCAUUACCUGGCAAUUCCUCCUACUCCCUCACUAAUCCCUCUCUCCCUUUGCUUCUAGUGACUGCAACAUCUAAGACCCUCACCUCUGUCUCCUACCCCCCAAAGUUCUCCUUCUUUUUUCCUUGUGAUUAAAUAAACUUAAGUUCACUGUAUCUCACUAGUCAAUUGAGUUUGCUUUUGGGUUCAGCCCUCGUACCAGCCUAGUGGCCCCUGACAGAUAAACAUCCCUACCCUCGCCUGGCUAGUGACCUAAAGUAUGCGAUUGCAAAUACAAGCGGUGAACAUUUUGUUGUCUCCAGAAUGUGGCUCAGUGCUCCUUUAGAUAUAGUUUAAGAAAUUCAGUCAUUUAGGAGGGAACUAGACUAAAGCCGCUACUCCUCCACAUUAAACUGAACCAAUUGAGGUGGUCUGGGCAUCUGACUAGGAUACCUCCUGGCCACCUCCUGAGCGAGGUGUUCUGGGCAUACUGCAAAGCUAUAGGGUAUUGAAGUAUGGCACUGUGAACCCCUUGAGCCUGCUGUACCACCCCUCCCUUGAAGUUGAGCCAUGGACCACACUGCCACCACAGGCACCUUUCUUUGAUCACAAGUGCCAUAGCUGUGUGCAGGCAGGCAGGAUGAUAGACCCAAACGCAGGCCUCGUGGAGACAAACGUGAACUCAAAAACCUCAGCUUUAUUUGUUGGCAAUUACUAAACAGAAAACUAAACUGGUGAAACAUGUCAGUUUCUAGCUUCACCACACGGGCAAUUAUGAGGUUACGACGCGACAUAGGGCAAGGAAAACACAGGGCUAAAAACACAGUAACCAGGGAAUGGGAGACAGGAGGGAGACACAGCUGGGAGAAAUCAGACUAAACUAGACAAGGGAAGCAAACCUAGAAGCACUGACAUGAGACACGCACUUUUAAAGUAAAUCAGAAAACACAUCGACUUAACUCAAGAUACGUAAACUUAACAGAGACCGGGGGAGACAGAACAUAGGAACCUGAAACGUGGGAUAGGAGGGCACAGAGUAGACAACACAGAACACAGGGAAGCCACAUAACAAAACCUAAGAACUAGUAAUCACAUAAUAAAGAAUUAGAGAGCUAGAAAUACUGAGAAAUAAACCUAAAUACUAGUAGUGAUAACAGUGAUAAAAAUAAUCAAUGAUCAAAAAAACAGAACAAAACUGGGUCCCAGGACCGUGACAACAAGCUUGUAGAGAAUAGCCUGCCAAAGGCAAGCCUCUAAGUAACGAAUUUGAGGAUUUUUUUAAAUAAUGUUAAAUGAUUUCUACAAAACAUGAAGUGUGCCAGAGCUGAAGAGGUGUCUAUAAUAUCACCUCUUCUUCAGAUAACAAGGCUAGGAGAAUCCGAUGUCCUCCGAGUCCAAGUGAAUCUCAGGUCAGUUCUCUCAAUCUAAAUUUGUAAUUUAUUUGUAAUUAUGACUUAUUUCAAUUGUAUGAAAGAUUAAAAUGGAGUGCUGGUUUAGCUCAGUGGGUGAGCUAUAUGCCGUAUGGCAGGACAGCAUCUGGCCUGGGCCAAACCCGGGCUGUGUGUCCUCACCUCUCUCUCUAAGCUUUACUGUCUAUCGUCACUGCAUCUGUCCCAAAAAAGGCUAAAAGCCAAAAAAGUAAUCUUUUUUUUUUUUAAGUAAGCAUAAACACUUACGAGUGUUUCAUUAAACUUCAGCUUUUUCUCCUCAACUUCCAGUCUUAUAGAAAUCUGUUUGCAGGAAGAAUAUUCUACUUUAAAUCAAUCAGUAAUCAACUAAGGACACUGACAGAGUUUGAAUUCAUUUGAAUACCUGACUUAGUCUUUUAUUUGUUGUUAUCGAUUGUCUGUUUGGCUCUUACUCAUAGUGUCUAUAAUUAUUUUAUCUGAAGUGAGAACUAAAUCAGAUUUUUUAAAAGUCUGGGAAAUGAGGUAGAAACUCAGAGUAAGGGCCAAGCAUAUGAUAGAUAACAACAAAUAAAACAGUUCUUUGUUUAUUGUUUGUUUAAAGGACUUCCUGUCUGUGAUGCAGUGUGCAUUUCUUCUCCACCCCUUAUCUAUUCUCCACUGUAGCAUGUCAUUAAAGUUUUGCCUUCUCCCUUAGUCACUUUUUUGUUCUGUCUCCUCAUGCUCGCUUUUUACUUUUUUAUUUUCGUCUUUUCUCGUUCAUCUGACCCCCAACAAGUCACAGCAGCCCCUCUCCAAGCCUUGGGGUCACAGAAAACUGGGAGCUAUCUCAUAUUUAUAUGGGGAGAUAACCUCACAUCUGGUGUGGCCUGAGAUUCCCAGAGAGGUAGAGGCUAAGACCCAACCUGACACAUAAACAUAGACAAACAGGCAAACACAGACACAAACAUGCAUUCCCACCCUCAUGCACAUAUAUACAUAUACUCAGCACUCGCUCAACAUGGAGACAAACAGAAAUGAACACUGUACAUACACUCACACUCCCCAAAUAUACUCUAUAUACCCAGGUCUAGGAACCAUCACCCUCAUUUUCUCGGGAGAGCACAUGCUUAAGGACACAGACAAUAGGGAUGACAUCAGAUGCAGAUGAGGAUGAUGCGCUUACCUCCUUGUGUGGGAAGCAUUCCAAACUUGCAACACCUAGCUGGUCCAUUGCCUUUUUUACAUUGCUGGCAUUGUCUCGCAAAACAACGUGGACUUUAUUCUUCGGAAUUUUCCACGCAUUUAACAUUUCCUCCAUAGCUGCAGCGAUGGACUCUCCUGUGUGUGAACCACGAAACUCUUUGGCCUGCAGCACUGUUUUUUGCAUUGUAAAACUCAAGUCUAUCCAGUGUACAGUCAGGCUUAGCAGGGACAACGGACAAACGUCCGAGCUCCAGAUAUCAGUUGUGUCAUGGUCUGGGUGAGCAGCUGGGAUUUUCCAUCAGUGCCAGAGCACCCUUGGCUCCGCCCGUGGGCAGGACUUUCUCAGCUUCACGCAUCUGGAGCUAAUUGGGGCAAUCAGGCCAAAGAGGGAUUUAAGCUCUGCGCUGUCAUCUCCUCCCUGCCAGUUCGGUAGCUAUCUGAUGUUGGUAACUGGCUUGUUUGACUCAUGCUGUUUGUUGUGCUUCAGGACCUAUUCUCCAGUGUUGACUGCUGCUCACCACUUGGAUCUCAGCUCCUUUCCACCUCACUGGGAAAUAUCUCCAAACCUCACCUGCCUGCCCUUCUGCUCACUCAUCACUUUGGAUCCAACGAACCCCAGGUCAGCCGUUUCACCUCCCCCUCGAUACCACACCUCCACCUCCUGCAAUGUGACCAAUACUUACCUGCCUAGAUCCAGUUGUCCUCACGUUCAUGCCACGCUAAUAGUUCCACGGCUACGUUUCCACACCGCAGUUUGCCACGUCCUUGUGUUUUCACCCAUAUUAUGUAUUCACCAAUAAAUUGUGAUAAAACGCCCUCUUGCCUCCGCUCUGUGUGUCUGCGCUUGGGUUCUGUUCAAGUUGCUGGCCUCCGUCCAGCGUGACAAGUUGUCAUGCUUAACGUGAGAAUUAUUUCCAAACUCUUGGAGAUGAACUUGCAUACCUGUUUGUAAUUGCCUGGGAUAGCUUCCUCCGAGAUGAAAUGCCGGUUUGGCAGCAUGUAGCGAGGCUCUAAAUGCUCAAUUAAGCGUCAAAAACCAUCAUUUUCCACAACAGAAAGGGGCUGGUCAUCAAGCACAACAAAUUCAACUAUUUUCUCCGUUAUCAGCUUCGCUCUAUUGCUUUCCGGAGGGAAUUUCUCACGUCUCUGAAUAUUUUCCAAAAGCGUUUUUUGAUACAGUACACUUUUCUGCUUAGCUUUGGAGGCCAGGCUAAAUUCCGUGUCCCCCUUUGCGUGGUGUUUCUGUAAGUGUUUAAUCAUGUUUGUGGUGUUAAAAUUCCCCAAACUGCUACCACCUCGCAAAACACUUGCAUCGCAUGAGUUGCAUUCGGCAGUCUUGCUUUUUUCAUCUUUUAGUUUGAAAUAUGUCCACACUGCUGACAUGAUGGCUCUCAGCUCUCCCACACGAUAGCCGCUCGAUCACGUGACACAAACUGCUCUGACGUGCUAAGGUCAUGACCUGGGUUAUACCAUGUUAGCAAGUUUUUGAGGUGCUUCUGUGAUAUUUACUGGAUCGGAUAAAAUUUUUAAAUUUCUCUCCGAUAUCCGAUCCAGUAAUUUACAUCAGUAUCCGACCGAUACCAAUACUGAAUAUCGGAUCGGUCCGUCUCUAGUUUAAAUACACAAACAAAACACGUAUGCUUUCAAUUGUGUAAUUUAAGUGAUCUAGGUAGCUAGAUGGCACUGUUUAUGUGAUGGCAUGCCACAUCUGGCCCGAUCAUGGUUUGGUUUUGGUUGGCCCAGGCUCAUAGAAAACAGGUCUAGCCCGAAUCUGGCAUCAAGCUGGCAGUUCUGACUGACUGGUGUGAUGGCAGGGUGUCUGUCAACCAGAUGUGGGCCAGGUCUGGCAAUGAUGGCACGAUUUAUGUUCCUAUUUUCCUAUUUUAGUUAGAAGACCCAAAUGCCAUGCUGCAAUACUAUAAUGUUAUGGAGCCAAUGUUUCAAAUGCAGGUUUGACAGGUUUGUGAGUGUACACUUUAUCCAAAGCCUAGUGAGGGUUUACUCAUGUUUACCACUGAGUGGCUGUAGUGAA